ensembl:lincRNA
UUAUAAGUGAGGCUGAGCAUUCUCCAUACAUAAGAGGUUGUUUUAAUUUCGUUUCCUGUGAACUGUGUACAGACCCCGAGUGAGGUUCCUGCAGUUGCCACAACCAAUUUCCACAAACCGAGGGGCUAUAAACAACUCCAGCUUCAGCCCUGACCAUUCUGGGGCUAGAAGUCUAACGGGGGUCUCACUGGCUGGAACACCUGUGACCCAGAACUCUGUUGCUUCCUGGAGGCUCUUGGUGAGAAUCCAUCUCCUUGCCUUCAGCUUCAAAUGCUGCUUGAGACCCUUAUCUCGCAGCUGCCGCCAUCCCCAAAGCCAGCAGUGGCAGACUUGGCUUUCCCCCAUUGCCUCUCUGUUCUCUCAGGCUCCUGCCUGAUCUUGCACAUUGGACACUCUCUCCAUCUGAAAACCGGGAGGGAGCAGAUACCAGACCAUCAGGAGGGAGCAGAUACCAGACCUCCAGUGGGGGUCCUCUGAGGGGCAGAUCCCAGUCUGGACACCCAGAGAGUGCUGGGGUGGGGGUACCCUGGCCAAGGGGGUAUGGCCAGCAGCACUUUCCUUGCUCAGUGCACCAUGGGCCUCCAUUCCAUACAGGCCUGCAGAUGUGCUGGUGGCAGAACCAAGCACCCCAGGAGAGGGCCCGCGGUCCUGUCGGGCAUUGCCACAGCCUUGCCUGGAGAAGCAGGGCCUCCCCCAGUGCCCAGCUGGCCAGCAAGUUUUCAGGAACUCUACGCUUUUCCCAAAUAAGCUGUACAGGUUGUCCCAUCACCGUGUCUAAUCUGUAUGUCAUCGGAGACAACAGCAUGUUUUGCUGUCGCUCUGGUUCCAGAGAUUCUGCUCAGCCGAGGUUCCAGCGUUCUGAUGAAGAAGAUUCCGUCUCCAAAGCCUUUGAGGUCACUCCUGAUGCUGACAUGGCUGCUGAAGAGUUGGGUGACAGGCAUUGCUGCCUCCGAGGUUCCUUUGUGAGGAAUAGGUGGGGCUUCAGGAGGAAGCCAGCUGCAGGUCAGGAGGGAGCACUAUCUCACCAGAAGAGCCCCUGAGGAGGGCCUGGCUGGGGGUCCCUAGGGCAGUACAGGGCCUGAGAGUCAGGGAGAGGCCCCGGAUGGGUGUGGGAGGCUGGGGUCAAGGCUGGGACUGGAGCUCACCCCGCUAUGACACUGAGGCCCCCUCCCUCCCAGCCGUUGCCCCUUGUUACCCUCCUGCAGGCAGCAAGGCCUCUGCUGAUGCUGCUUUUUCCUCCCGCAGCCAUUCAUGGGAGGCGGCUGUGAGACGGCCUGGCAGGACCCAGUCUCGGACCCCACCAAAGGGGAGGCUCACCCUGCACAGGAGCAUCCUGGGGCAGUAGGCUUGGCUCUUUUAAAUUUUGAGUAAGAACAAAGUAAACUUCAGGGUAAAAAAAUGAAACUGUGUUGAGUACAUAGUGGUUGAGGGCCUACAGUAUACCUGACACUUUGCCAGAACCAGGCUUCAGACCUCAGGGUUCUGGGUCUUUUGAUGUCCAGCUCCAACCCCACCAUACCCAAGCACCCUCUACCCCCACCGCAUACCCUUCACCGUGCUACCUGGCCUGGGCCAUCUCAGACCACUUGGACUCCCUCCUGAGGCCUCCAGCCCCUCAGCCCUCACACCCUGAGCCCCUCAGCCUGGAAACCAGCCACCGGCCUGGACACCAUGGGGGGCUUCAAGGUUUCCACCUCCUGCUAACCUUGGCCUGAAAGGGGUCAGUGGGACCCUGCCCUAGGCCCCUGGGAGGCUGUAUCCUUGCUUCUGCCUCAUUCUGUUCUCCAGGGCCCAAUCCUCUUCCUGCUGGGCCCUCCCAGGAUGUCCCUGAUCCUGUCACUGUGCUUCCUGGCCUAAAUCUCACCUCCUCCAGGAAGCCUUCCAGACUGAUGGCUCCCAGGCACUGGGCAUCCCCCAACCUUGCUGAGAAUGGUGGAUGCCCACCCAGGCUGAGCCCUGGUGAGCCAGAGAAGCCUGCGUCUCCCUGCAGAGUCUGCCGCAUAGUUCUCUAGCCCACUGUGAUUCCACCUAGGUCAAUCCCUUUCCAGCUUGGAUUCCCAAGAAUAACUGUGUAAUAUGCUGGAAAUGCAACAUCCUGAGAUAGAGAGAACGGCCUGAAGCAGCCGGGGUCUAGUUCCUGUUGCUCUGACAGAAGGGAACAUCAUGAGUUAGGGAGUGGCCCCUGAAGAAUAAAUGGAGGCAAAAAUCCCUAUAAGUAGAAUUCACCUGGGCCAAGGUGAAGACAGCCACUGGGGAGACUCAGACUUGGAUAUGAGCUCCGUUCAGCCUUAGUACCUCUGCCUCCCGGGUCCAACCGAUUCUCCUGCCUCAGCCUCCGGAGUAGCUGGGAUUAUAGGCGUGCACCACCAUGCCCAGCUAAUUUUUGUAUUUUCAGUAGAGACAGGGUUUCACCAAGUUGG